AUUACAACAACCAGCAAAGUUUUGGAUUUAUUUUGCUAUUAGAUCUUUUAACUAUUUAUAUUUUUCUUUAAAAUGUAAAUUUAAAAAUGAAAUUCAUUAUGAGAAAAGUUGAUUAUGUUUUACAUUAUCCUUGGAUUUGAUUCGACUUAAACAAAACCCUCAAAACCACCACCGCACAACCACCGUGAUCCCACCGCCGGAUUAAGAAUCCGACAAGGCUACAAAACUUACGAAUCCUACAUACAACGUCAACUAAACAAAACCCUAGGAUUCAUACUUCCUCUCCUGAUUGUCAUAAGGGAUUAUUGGUUCUGAUACGAUCAGGAUUCAGGCCUAUGGGUUGCUUUAUUAAUUAAUAUAAGAGUGCAUGAUUUAGUGGUCUCAAAGCCUGAUUUAUUAUGAUCAAAAAUCCGUCACUCUUCGAUCUGCCGCUGCAGUUCGUUGCCCCUGCCGCUUCCGCCGCUUGCCGUGCUGUUCCUCUUCUCUCCGCUGAUCCUCUCCUCUUCUCUACACCGAACCGCUGCUUCUCUCCUCUCCGCUUCCGCUGUGUGCUCCUUUCCUCUUCUCCGCUGCCGCCGCCUGCUCUCUAACAAAAUCCUGCCUCUGUGGGCGGUAAAUUGUCUCCGUUGAUGAGUUGUAACGGAUAAACAAAUCAGAUGUAUAUUUUUCAACAAUCAAUGGCAACAGUAUGGGGUGUUGGUUUCUCUGUUAAGGAUUGCUCAAAUGGUCUGUUACAGAUGUUUUUCAAUGACAAAAUUUGAAAUGUUAAAGAUAUUAAAUGGAUGUUCUUGGGGUGACUCUCUUUGUUUAA